UACGAAGGGUGCAAGCGUUAAUCGGAAUUACUGGGCGUAAAGCGUGCGUAGGUGGUUUGUUAAGUCAGAUGUGAAAGCCCUGGGCUCAACCUGGGAACUGCAUUUGAUACUGGCAGGCUAGAGUGCGGUAGAGGGUGGUGGAAUUCCCGGUGUAGCGGUGAAAUGCGUAGAGAUCGGGAGGAACAUUCAUGGCGAAGGCGGCCACCUGGACCAGCACUGACGCUGAGGCACGAAAGCGUGGGGAGCAAACAGG
rnacentral:rRNA from 1 species